rfam:Micrococcales bacterium 72-143 scnpilot_expt_750_bf_scaffold_9, whole genome shotgun sequence.
UUUACGGAGAGUUUGAUCCUGGCUCAGGACGAACGCUGGCGGCGUGCUUAACACAUGCAAGUCGAACGGUGAACGAGGGAGCUUGCUCCCUCCGGAUCAGUGGCGAACGGGUGAGUAACACGUGAGCA